CACCGCCGCGGGAAUACGUAGGGCGCAAGCGUUAUCCGGAUUUAUUGGGCGUAAAGAGCUCGUAGGCGGUUUGUCGCGUCUGCCGUGAAAGUCCGAGGCUCAACCUCGGAUCUGCGGUGGGUACGGGCAGACUAGAGUGAUGUAGGGGAGACUGGAAUUCCUGGUGUAGCGGUGAAAUGCGCAGAUAUCAGGAGGAACACCGAUGGCGAAGGCAGGUCUCUGGGCAUUUACUGACGCUGAGGAGCGAAAGCAUGGGGAGCGAACAGGAUUAGAUACCCGCGUAGUCCCUGUCUCUUAUACA
rnacentral:rRNA from 1 species